UAGGACAGAAAGACCCUAUGAAGCUUUACUAUUAAUAAAUAUUGAAAAUAUAUAUGUAAAACAUAGAAUAAAUGGGAAAUUAAAAUAUUAUUUUUUCGGAAAUAAUGUAAUUAAAAAUGAAAUACCAUUUUUUAUAUAUAUAAAUUCUUAAAAAAAAUUUCAUAACAAAUGUUUAAACAGUAAUUAUGAGAUAGUUUGACUGGGGCAGUCUCCUCCUAAAUAGUAACGGACGUGUACAAAGUUAUAUUAAUAAUAUAAAGAUAUAAUAUAAUUAACUGUAAGAUAUACAAAUCAAGCAGAGAUUUACGUCGGUCUUAAUGAUCCGGUAAUUUUGUUCAGUGAUAAAAUUAUCGCUUAACGGAUAAAAGUUACUCUA
rnacentral:rRNA from 1 species